UACGGGGGGUGCGAGCGUUGUCCGGAUUCAUUGGGCGUAAAGAGCUCGUAGGCGGCUGUUCAAGUCGAACGUGAAAACUCGGAGCUCAACUCCGAGCCUGCGUUCGAUACUGGACGGCUAGAGUCUGGUAGGGGGAUCUGGAAUUCCUGGUGUAGCGGUGGAAUGCGCAGAUAUCAGGAGGAACACCGGUGGCGAAGGCGGGAUCCUGGGCCAGUACUGACGCUGAGGAGCGAAAGCGUGGGGAGCGAACAGG
rnacentral:rRNA from 1 species